rnacentral:rRNA from 1 species
CCCUUAGAUGUUCUGGGCUGCACGCGCGCUACACUGACACACUCAGCGAGUCUCCUGACCCGAGAGGGUUGGGUAAUCAUGUGAGCGUGUGUCGUGAUGGGGAUAGAAUAUUGUAAUUAUUGCUCUUCAACGAGGAAUUCCUAGUAAGCGCGAGUCAGCAGCUCGCGCUGAUUACGUCCCUGCCCUUUGUACACACCGCCCGUCGCUCCUACCGAUGGGGUGAUCCGGUGAAUGAUUCGGACUUCCGCGUUGCUAGCUACUAGUUUCGCGGAAGAAAGUUUUGUGAACCUUAUCACUUGGAGGAAGGAGAAGUCGUAACA